GACGAACGCUGGCGGCGUGCUUAACACAUGCAAGUCGAACGAAGUGGCGAACGGGUGAGUAACGCGUAAUCAACCUGCCCUUCAGAGGGGGACAACAGUUGGAAACGACUGCUAAUACCGCAUACUGAAGGAGGGGAUUGCGUCUGAUUAGCUAGUUGGGGGGGUAACGGCCCACCAAGGCGAUGACCAGUAGCCGGGCUGAGAGGAUGAACGGCCACAAUGGGACUGAGACACGGCCCAGACUCCUACGGGAGGCAGGAGGGGGGAAUCUUCCGAAAUGGAGGAAAGGCUGACGGAGCAACGCCGCGGGGGUGAUGACGGCCUUCGGGUUGUAAAGCUCUGUUAAGCGGGACGCGGUACCGGAAUAGAAAGCAACGGCUAACUACGUGCCAGCAGCCGCGGUAAUAC
rnacentral:rRNA from 1 species